UUGCUUAUCUCAACAGCUCAUAUUCCAAAACUGGAAUAAUAGAAGAUUAAUAUGAUCCCUGUGUGGGAAUGGCAUGCUGCUUCCUGAAGUGUUCUAUAUUCUA
rnacentral:snRNA from 1 species